GUGGGGAAUCUUGCGCAAUGGGCGAAAGCCUGACGCAGCCAUGCCGCGUGAAUGAUGAAGGUCUUAGGAUUGUAAAAUUCUUUCACCGGGGACGAUAAUGACGGUACCCGGAGAAGAAGCUCCGGCUAACUUCGUGCCAGCAGCCGCGGUAAUACGAAGGGGGCUAGCGUUGCUCGGAAUUACUGGGCGUAAAGGGCGCGUAGGCGGACAGCUUAGUCAGAGGUGAAAGCCCAGGGCUCAACCUUGGAAUUGCCUUUGAUACUGGCUGUUUUGAGUUUGGGAGAGGUGAGUGGAACUCCGAGUGUAGAGGUGAAAUUCGUAGAUAUUCGGAAGAACACCAGUGGCGAAGGCGACUCACUGGCCCAAUACUGACGCUGAGGCGCGAAAGCGUGGGGAGCAAACAGGAUUAGAAACCCUAGUAGUCC
rnacentral:rRNA from 1 species